rnacentral:rRNA from 1 species
GAUGAACGCUAGCGGCAGGCCUAAUACAUGCAAGUCGAACGAGAUUGAGGAGCUUGCUCCUCAUGAAAGUGGCGCACGGGUGCGUAACGCGUAUGCAAUCUACCUUAAUCAGGGGGAUAGCUCGGAGAAAUCCGGAUUAAUACCGCAUAACGUUAUUUUAUGGCAUCAUAGAAUAACCAAACAUUUAUGGGAUUAAGAUGAGCAUGCGUGACAUUAGUUAGUUGGUGAGGUAACGGCUCACCAAGACUACGAUGUCUAGGGGAUCUGAGAGGAUGACCCCCCACACUGGUACUGAGACACGGACCAGACUCCUACGGGAGGCAGCAGUAAGAAUAUUGGUCAAUGGGCGCAAGCCUGAACCAGCCAUGCCGCGUGCAGGAAGACGGCCCUAUGGGUUGUAAACUGCUUUUAUUCGGGAAUAAACCUCUUUACGUGUAAGGAGCUGAAUGUACCGAAGGAAUAAGGAUCGGCUAACUCCGUGCC